GCGGGACUAGUUUAGUGGCAGAAUGGGAGUUUUCCAAACUCUAGGCGGGAGUUCGAUUCUCCCGUCCCGCA
rnacentral:tRNA from 1 species